rnacentral:rRNA from 1 species
GAACGCUAGCUACAGGCUUAACACAUGCAAGUCGAGGGGCAGCAUUUCAUUUUGCUUGCAAAGUGAAGAUGGCGACCGGCGCACGGGUGAGUAACACGUAUCCAACCUGCCGAUAACUCGGGGAUAGCCUUUCGAAAGAAAGAUUAAUAUCCGAUAGCAUAUCAAUCCCGCAUGAGAUUGAUAUUAAAGAAUUUCGGUUAUCGAUGGGGAUGCGUUCCAUUAGUUUGUUGGCGGGGUAACGGCCCACCAAGACUACGAUGGAUAGGGGUUCUGAGAGGAAGGUCCCCCACAUUGGAACUGAGACACGGUCCAAACUCCUACGGGAGGCAGCAGUGAGGAAUAUUGGUCAAUGGGCGAGAGCCUGAACCAGCCAAGUAGCGUGAAGGAUGAAGGCUCUAUGGGUCGUAAACUUCUUUUAUAUGGGAAUAAAGUUUUCCACGUGUGGAAUUUUGUAUGUACCAUAUGAAUAAGGAUCGGCUAACUCCGUGCCAGCAGCCGCGGUAAUACGGAGGAUCCGAGCGUUAUCCGGAUUUAUUGGGUUUAAAGGGAGCGUAGGUGGAUUGUUAAGUCAGUUGUGAAAGUUUGCGGCUCAACCGUAAAAUUGCAGUUGAAACUGGCAGUCUUGAGUACGGUAGAGGUGGGCGGAAUUCGUGGUGUAGCGGUGAAAUGCUUAGAUAUCACGAAGAACUCCGAUUGCGAAGGCAGCUCACUAGACUGUCACUGACACUGAUGCUCGAAAGUGUGGGUAUCAAACAGGAUUAGAUACCCUGGUAGUCCACACAGUAAACGAUGAAUACUCGCUGUUUGCGAUAUACAGUAAGCGGCCAAGCGAAAGCAUUAAGUAUUCCACCUGGGGAGUACGCCGGCAACGGUGAAACUCAAAGGAAUUGACGGGGGCCCGCACAAGCGGAGGAACAUGUGGUUUAAUUCGAUGAUACGCGAGGAACCUUACCCGGGCUUAAAUUGCAACAGAAUAUAUUGGAAACAGUAUAGCCGUAAGGCUGUUGUGAAGGUGCUGCAUGGUUGUCGUCAGCUCGUGCCGUGAGGUGUCGGCUUAAGUGCCAUAACGAGCGCAACCCUUAUCUUUAGUUACUAACAGGUCAUGCUGAGGACUCUAGAGAGACUGCCGUCGUAAGAUGUGAGGAAGGUGGGGAUGACGUCAAAUCAGCACGGCCCUUACGUCCGGGGCUACACACGUGUUACAAUGGGGGGUACAGAAGGCGGCUACCUGGUGACAGGAUGCUAAUCCCAAAAACCUCUCUCAGUUCGGAUCGAAGUCUGCAACCCGACUUCGUGAAGCUGGAUUCGCUAGUAAUCGCGCAUCAGCCAUGGCGCGGUGAAUACGUUCCCGGGCCUUGUACACACCGCCCGUCAAGCCAUGAAAGCCGGGGGUACCUGAAGUACGUAACCGCAAGGAGCGUCCUAGGGUAAAACUGGUAAUUGGGGCUA